AGGAGUGUAGUUCAGUCGGUAGAACAUUGGUCUCCAAAACCAAGUGUCGUGGGUUCGAGUCCUGCCACUCCUG
rnacentral:tRNA from 1 species